rnacentral:rRNA from 1 species
UACGUAGGGUGCGAGCGUUAAUCGGAAUUACUGGGCGUAAAGCGUGCGUAGGUGGUUGUUUAAGUCCGUUGUGAAAGCCCUGGGCUCAACCUGGGAAUUGCAGUGGAUACUGGGCAACUAGAGUGUGGUAGAGGAUGGCGGAAUUCCCGGUGUAGCAGUGAAAUGCGUAGAGAUCGGGAGGAACAUCUGUGGCGAAGGCGGCCAUCUGGACCAACACUGACACUGAGGCACGAAAGCGUGGGGAGCAAACAGG